GACGAACGCUGGCGGCGUGCCUAAUACAUGCAAGUCGAGCGCGGGAAGCUUGCGGAAUCCUUCGGGAGGAAGUGAGUGGACCGAGCGGCGGACGGGUGAGUAACACGUGGGCAACCUGCCCGUAAGACGGGGAUAACCCCGGGAAACCGGGGCUAAUACCGGAUAGGUGACCUUUCUGCAUGGAGGGGUCAUGAAAGGCGGCGGAAGCCGUCGCUUACGGAGGGGCCCGCGGCGCAUUAGCUAGUUGGUGAGGGAAGGGCUCACCAAGGCGACGAUGCGUAGCCGGCCUGAGAGGGUGAACGGCCACACUGGGACUGAGACACGGCCCAGACUCCUACGGGAGGCAGCAGUAGGGAAUCUUCCGCAAUGGACGGAAGUCUGACGGAGCAACGCCGCGUGAGUGAGGAAGGCCUUCGGGUCGUAAAGCUCUGUUGUUCGUGAAGAAGGGGUUGGCCAGGAAAUGGGCUGACAUUGACGGUAGCGAACCAGAAAGCCCCGGCUAACUACGUGCCAGCAGCCGCGGUAACACGUAGGGGGCAAGCGUUGUCCGGAAUGAUUGGGCGUAAAGGGCGCGCAGGCGGCCUCUUAAGUCUGAUGUGAAAGCCCACGGCUCAACCGUGGAGGGACAUUGGAAACUGGGGGGCUUGAGUGCAGGAGAGGGGAGUGGAAUUCCACGUGUAGCGGUGAAAUGCGUAGAGAUGUGGAGGAACACCAGUGGCGAAGGCGGCUCUCUGGCCUGUGACUGACGCUGAGGCGCGAAAGCGUGGGGAGCGAACAGGAUUAGAUACCCUGGUAGUCCACGCCG
rnacentral:rRNA from 1 species